UGCAGGCAUGAGCCACUGUGACUGGUCAACUGGAACAGUUUUAAAAGAUAACAUUUUUCUGGAGAUUUUAUACUCUACUGAUCCCAAAUUGAAAGACGCACGAGAGAUUUUAAAACAAAUUGAAUACCGUAAUCUAUUCAAGUAUGUGGGUGAGACCCAGCCAACGGGACAAGUAAAGAUUAAAAAGGAGGACUAUGAAUCUCUUCCAAAAGAGGUUGCUGCUGCUAAACCCAAAGAAUUGCUGGAAGUAAAACUGGAGGCUGAAGAUUUUAUAGUGGAUGUAAGUAAUUAGUCCAGUAAUAAACUGAGUGAAUAAUUUUUUAACGAGAAAGCACCCACCAUUAUAAAAGUAGUACGUGUUCAUUAUAAUUACUUAGAAAAAUGCGGAAAGAUAAAAGGAAGUCAUCUGUGCCCUUACAAAGAGAACCAAUAUUAUUAACCACAAAAAAAUUUGAUUUGUGAUAUUUUGCCAUUAUUUUUAAUAUAAUUGGGGUCAUGUGAUUACAUUGUCUAUAUUAAAAAUUUUUAAUUACACAAGUAACACAUUUUAUUUUUUUUUUGUUGCCUGCAUACAAACACAGAGGAAAAAGUUGUAGGGCCAGGCACUGUGGCUCACGCCUGUAAUCCCAGCACUUUGGGAGGCCAAGGUGGGUGGAUCACCUGAGUCAGGAGUUCGAAACCAGCCUGGCCAACA